AAGUCCUGAGAAUAGCAUCUUUUCUCUGAAGCAUGUGAGUCAUAGUUUUUCACUGGGAUCAAUAACUCCUCUCUGUCUUCUGGAAAUUGUGACUUCAUUCAAGUCCCUAAAUUGUGGUAGUCAUCACAAUUAGAUAUUUAUCCAGUACCAGAAUCUCCAGAAUGUUUUUCUUAGAGUUACUGUUUCUGUCAUGGAUUCCACUGAGAGUCUCUAUGAGGCUAAGCCCCAUUUUG
rnacentral:lncRNA from 1 species